rnacentral:rRNA from 1 species
UACGAAGGGGGCUAGCGUUGCUCGGAAUCACUGGGCGUAAAGCGCACGUAGGCGGAUUGCUAAGUCAGGGGUGAAACUCCUGGGAGCUCAACUCCAGAACUGCCCUUGAUACUGGCGGUCUCGAGUCCGGGAGAGGUGAGUGGAACUGCGAGUGUAGAGGUGAAAUUCGUAGAUAUUCGCAAGAACACCAGUGGCGAAGGCGGCUCACUGGCCCGGUACUGACGCUGAGGUGGCGAAAGCGUGGGGAGCAACAGG